UACGUAGGGGGCAAGCGUUUGUCCGGAAUCAUUGGGCGUAAAGCGCGUGUAGGCGGCUCAGUAAGUCCGCUCUGAAAGCCCGGGGCUUAACCCCGGGAGGCGGGUGGAUACUGCUGAGCUUGAGUCCGGAAGAGGCGAGUGGAAUUCCCGGUGAUAGCGGUGAAAUGCGCAGAUAUCGGGAGGAACACCAAUGGCGAAGGCAGCUCGCUGGGACGUUACUGACA
rnacentral:rRNA from 1 species